CGAGGGGUGUCCGUUCUUACGUGUUUUGAGGCGGGCUGAGAUGGCCAGAUGGCUAGACCCUUAGAACCUGAUCCGGGUCAUGCCGGCGAAGGGACGGAGUAGC
rnacentral:ncRNA from 1 species